rnacentral:rRNA from 1 species
GAUUUCUGGGUUUAGAUGUGCCUAGCCCACCGUGGCAACACGCGUGAGUGCUGGCGUGCGUCUCCCAUCCUUUCUAGGCGGCAGCGCUGCCCUUUAUUGGGUUGGUGUCUGUCUCGCCUAGAUCUUUUACUUUGAAAAAAUUAGAGUGUUUCAAGCAGGCUUUAUGCUAUGAAUACAUUAGCAUGGAAUAAUAAUUUAGGACUUCGGUUCUAUUUUGUUGGUUUCUAGGACUGAAGUAAUGAUUGAUAGGGAUAGUUGGGGGUGCUAGUAUUCAGCGGCCAGAGGUGAAAUUCUCGGAUUCGCUGAAGACUAACUUAUGCGAAAGCAUU